UUUUUUUUUGACUGAGCAAAAGCCAUAGUUAAUAUAUUAGUAGGAGCAAAAAUUUUGUACAGCUGCGCGUACUGUUUCUUUUAAAAGUUUAACUUCCAAUUCGUAUAGUUUAUAUAGCUAGAGAUGAGCACUGCAGGUAGUGAACGAACAAGGAUUGUCGUGGAGCUUAGGCUACAUCCCACAGGGAAGAGCCACCAGUUGUUUUCAUAUAUGGAGAUGGAUUCUCAUUGUACCUCUAGAGGAUGUCUCUCGUUUCUUUCCUAUCAUCUAAAUAGUUAUUAAAAAAUUAAAAAAAAUAAUAAUAUGAUAGAUCAAUAUGAGAUACAUCAUUUCACAAAUUAAGCAUGCAAAUUAAAACUUGAUUUUUACAUAGCUAUAUAAACAAUUGAACUGAAACUAGUUAAUAUAAAUUCAUAGUUAUGUUUGUUACUUUUGUUUUAAUUUAUGGAAGUUAAAUUAGAACGUGCAUGUUUGUGGUAUGAUAUAUAUGUAUCAUAUUAAUCUAUCUAAUUAUUUUUUUGACUUUUUAAUAAAUAUUUAAGUGAUAUGUAAGAAAUGAAGGAUAUCCUCUAGAGGGAUAAAACACUUCCAUUAUGUGCAUCUCUCGCUAGGGUAACAAGCACCCAGCAUCAAAUCCAGGCAACUGUUCAUCGAGACUUAGGAUUUCAGUUCAAAUUCGCAACAUAUCAAACAGCAAUUAAGAUGCCAAGAUCUUAGCUACUGAUCUCUGGGUUAAUUGACUAGCUGUUGCGAACCAUAUCUGGCCACAUCAAUCUGAGUCGUCACAGGAAGAGAAUCGCCGUCCUCACGUGAACGGCAUAUAUAUGCUUAAUUAUUUGUAAAUUAAGCAGUUAAUAACCACAAUAUCAUGAUGGCUACCUAGUCAGCAGCAGUGUACUCCUCUUACUUAUCAGCUUAUUAUACUUAUCAACUAAAUUCAACCCUAGAUAUAACUGGUAUGACACGUAGAACAGAAUUCCAAAUUAACAAAAGCAUUCUUAUGAAAUUCAACUCAUAUAGUAUUCGUUGCCUUGC
rnacentral:sRNA from 1 species